AAGGCGGGUCGCGCCAGAGCGGCGGGUGGUGCGGGAUGUGGUGGGUGGCUGUUUUACGCAUGGCCGUAUUGAGGAGCCCGGUUAGAUUCUGUGGAGGGUUGCUGCGAUGCUGAGGGCUGCGAGAGUCAGCGAGACCUGUCGGCUCCGUCCUCUGUAAGGAGAAGGGCCGCCCCAGCCCUGGAUGAGGGAGCCCGGCCUGCAGCCUUUGGGUCCUCGCCCUUCCCCCAGGCUCCAUGGCGGCCCGGGCCGAGCCAGCAGAGCUGCCCCGUGCCAGCCGGGCUGGAGGUGGUGGGGGUUGGAGGUGCUCCUGUGGCCUCAUCGCGUCCUGUGGGACCCUGCUGUGAGAGGAGCUCCUGGCCGUGGGUUCUGCUUGUUGGUAGAGCAGCUGAGGCUCUGCAGAGCUGUGAGGUGCUUGGAUGGAGUGGCUGUGGGCGUUUUUUGUUGCUUUAUCUUCAUAUUCCAGAGACAGCCCAAACAGAGGGUAUGAGAACUCAUGGUGCACAGAGCCGUCGCUGUGCCUUGGUGCUGUGCUGCCCAUCCUGUAAGCAGCGUGCUGUAGCUGCUCUGGCAGUUUCCUUGCAGCACUGCCCAGCUCCCACCCAGCUGUCACACACAGACAUUUCAUGAGCCCAGUGCUGAUGGGGGGGAAUCAGCCCGUGCUCUGCGCAGUGGGCAGAGGAAUGUGACAAGGCCACCAGCCCUUGGCACUGGGGUUAUCCACCAUGGCACUGAGCCACGUGUUCCCACAAUUGAGCUGAGGAGGCUGCCCCAGCUGGUGCUUCUGAGGCUGCCCGGAGUGCAACCCAGGCCUUGUGUUUGGUCUAUAGGUUGAAUUUGGGGCUGCAAGAUAAAUGACUGCAUUGAGUUCUUUGGCUGCAUGUCUGUGACCUUUCCAUCCCACAUAGCUGCUGAAUUUCCUAUGUGUUUGCAGUGCUUGUUGCAGUCUCCUUCCUGAUCUGUGUGUCUGUGUGCCACAAGCAUUACAUAGUGAGACUUAAACACGAAAUACCUUGUGGUAAAGGACUUUGUGCCUCCCGGGGUGGUGAAACCUCUGGAGGAUGUUUCCUUUCCAUCUCAGGCUCUCCUCCCUUCUUUAUGGCUACUACUUACCUGUGCACCCUUAUUUGGCUGAUGCUUGAUCCUGGCUGCUGAGAAGGCUGGCUAAGUGAAGACAGACCCAUUUCCUCUUUCUUUCCUCUCGUCUGGAAUGUGCUUUCAGUCUUCUGCUGAAAUGCAGGUACCAAUAAAACAGAAAGAGGAGGAAGGUGCCCUGCGCUUUGCCGUUAGGGGCUGCUAGAAGCUGGUGAUGAGCAGCUGCUCCUGCAGUGCCAGGGAAUUCCUGCAGUGCGUGUGUGUUUAUGGGCACAGCAGGGUGGUGUGUGUAUGUGGGGGAUGGAGGUAGGAUUGCACGUGGGGCAUUAAUUUUGGUGCUUUCCUCCUUCCUGCUGCCUUCACACGGUUCUCUCCAGAUGUUCCAUCAGAAAUGUCUUCUGGGAGGAGCUGGGAGCCUGGCAGGGUGCUUCUGCUCUUGCCGAGGGUGGGCAGGUUGUGUGAUUGAGACAAGCUGCUGCAAGAAGAGCUUUUGGCUGAUUGGAUAUUAAUUAGUUUUGGAGAGAAAUAUGAGGAAUGUUAAAAUACUAUUUUAAGCUUCAGCUUGGCUGAGGGAAGGAAGGAAGGAAGGAAAUGAGGCCGUGGGGAUUAAUGAAGUGAUUUCACUGAUGUUUUUGUGGGGCAGUUAGCCUGAAGUCAGAGCGCUUUUGACUUGCAGUGCUUGGCUGAGGUCAGGCUUUCACAUCUAAUCUCCUCUCAGGGCACUGGUGGGUUUAUGAGGCUCAGCCUCAGGCAAGCUUUCUGGUGGUGAGAGGAGCAUGAAGCUUCCAGCACUGGGGCUCUGCAGGUGUCGUGUGCUGUGCAGCAGCGCUGUUGCUUGUGCACAAUGCAAUGGGGACUUGGGCUGCAGGUGGGGGUUGCUGGAGGGUCUCUGCUCAGAGCAGGGAUGUGCUUCUCCUGCUGGCUGGCUGCUUCGGCUCUUGGUGUGACCUGGUUGAGCUGAGGCUGACAGUGGGGCGGGGAAAGGGGUGGUUUGGAAGCCUGAGCUGGGCUGCUUCUGUGGGUGAGCAAGUGCUCUGUUUUUCAGAGCCAGGCUUAGCAUCUGUCAGCAGCACUAAAGCAGCUUUGGAGAGAGCCAGUACCCAACAGCACACUGCAAAAGGCCAAGUGGAGGGGGAAAAAAAGGAAAGGUUGAUUACAGGAAAGUGUGAUACAUAUACAGGAGUAACCAAGUCAGAAAAAGUUCAGCUCCUUCAAUGUCCAAGUAAAACAAGAUGCACGCAUUAACGAAAAUACACCUUCCACGGGCUGCUGCACAAAAGUCGGAUGUGUUGAGCCCCUGGUUCUGGCUACUACACCCAGGCGUGAGCUGAAAAAUGAAGUUCUGUGGCUGCCCUGAGAGGUCACCUCUACAGCUGCAGCGGGUGAGAGUGGGAUAGAAGUUUGGACCGGUCACAUUUGUUUGGAUGCCUUUCAUAGCAGCACUGUAAUAUUCUGACAGCCCUCGCUGGUUAAUCGUGUACAUGGGCAAAUGUCAUGGAAGGCAGGUGUGAGAUUUGCUGCUUGUGUACGAGCCGGGCAGCCAGAGCUGGAAGUGAGCCACUGGGUCCUAUCCGUCUUUUGGUUGAGGCGAAACCCAUUCCUCAUGUCUAUUGCCUCCUCUUUUAUCCAGCCUUGUUUUCAAAGCUCCGUGCAGUAGAGCUUCCAGCCUUCUGCAAAGGAGACUAUUCCCAUUGCUCAUAAAUCUACUGUCAGGAAGCUGUUUCCAAGAUUAAAGCUUAAACGUUUCCCCUCUCUGGUUUCAUCUCCCAUUCUUCCCAAUCACCAGCUCUCACUCCCCUCCCAAUGCUGGGCACUUCCCAAGGACGGACAUGGGGAGAUCGGUGCCCCCAAGGAGACCUGCAUGGGAUGCUGUGGAAAUGGGGUGUGCUCCUCAAGUGGUUGUGGUUGGCACAGCCAAGCUUUGGGCAGACAGCUGCCUAAUGGCAUUUGGCAAAGUCUGUUUGGUCGUAGUUCCCCCUCGGCUGCUUUACGAGCUGCUCGGAGUGCUGACUUAGCGUUUGGCCCACAGAUAGGAGUUGUUAAAGGUCGUUGUUUGGGCAAGGCCUGUGUGGUUUUGGGAUGGGCUGUCAAUCCUCUGGAAGGAGGUUGGAGUUUGGGGUCUGCUGAGGAGGUUGUGAUGCUGUGAUAAGGGCUCUCUAGGGGGAGAAAGUGCAAUAAUGAGCCAUAAUGGAGAGUCUGGGGUUUGUGACGUCGGCUUGGUGCGUGGGCAGGGAAUUCCAAGAGAGAAGGGAAGGAAAUGGGCAAGCAGUGGGGAACAGUGGAAUCUCUUGGCUCUGACACUCAACCCUUCCUUGAUUUGCAGCUGGGUUUUGCUCAGGCUGUGUGGCUGCUCAGCCUCACUGCUGCUUUCCUGCGCUGGAUGUGUGCACCCACAGUUAUGCUGGUUCUUCUGCAUCUCAAGGAAGGAUCCUCAUCCUCAGCUGUGGAGGAAGUGCUGGUGCAGGGUCUUCAGGAGGGCCAUAGGUUCUAUGGGCCAACCUGGGCUCAUCCAUGCAGAGCUCCUCCUCGUGCAGCGUCUGCCAUAUCCCAGGUGAGAGAUGUCUUCUCCUCCAAACCCUAUGAGCAGCUUUCCACCCCCAACUCUCCUGGAGAACCUCCGGGCACUCUGAGGUCUUCUGUGUUGCCUGUUUGUCCCACAAAUUUUGUACGAGGCAGAGGGGAACAACACGUGUUGAUGUUUAGGGUCGCAGAUGGUUUUGUUUAGCUUGUUAAUCACAAUAGCCUGGCCUGUGACUGCUCCCAGCAGUGGGUACUGAAGCACUCUGCACAAGCUCUGCUCAUUCACUGGUCAGGGAGGAUGUUCCUGAGCUUCCACUGUGCUUCAACCCCUGGCAGUGUCCCUGGGAAGUGCCCUGCUCAGGGACAGAUGUUGCUCUGGGAACGGCAGUGAGGAAGCACAGCCCUGUCCCUCUGCUUGAGCACUGCCAGCCCAGGAGGGGCUGUGCAUCUGUUUACCCAAAGCCCCUCCCAGCUUUUGACUCUGCAUACUCCAUGUGUUUUUUUUUCUUCCUCCUCCUAAACAGGAGGUGACACCCCUCUGUUGUUGGGGAUCUGUUUCAUUUCUGUGCCCUUUUAGACUUCAUGUUUUCUCAGGGCGAUCCAUGCCCGUGCACUGACUGCAGCCAUCCCGUGCCAUCUGCUUGCCUGCAGCUCAGUGCAGAGCGUGCCCUUGGCUGGUGUCAGGGUAAUUUAAAGGCUGGCUUAGCCUUUCUG